UGUAAGUGACUUUGUGUUAUAACAGUGUCCUGUGACAUGCACAAAACAAUGUGACUCUACAAGUAUGUAAUGGACAAAUUAUAUAGUCUGAAAAGCUCACAGAAGACAAAGAGGAGGAUAGAACUGUAAACAAAGUAUAAUUUUUCCUGGUAAUAUAUGUAUAACAUACAUUCAAAAACUGGUAACUGAACCAGAAUUUUACACAUAAGCAGAGGUGAUUUAUAGGUGAUUUUUGCAUCUGGUAAUAAUAACAACACCCAAAUGCAAACCAUUAUCCAGAACUUACUGAUUUUUAUUUUUAUUUACUAAUAGCAACAGCGGCAGCAACUGUGACGUAAACAUUUCAACAUUUCCCCAUAUCGUCUCCCGUCACUGCAAGAGAUUGAAAGUACGAGAUGUUCCUGAACGCACCGGAAAUAGGCUGUCAGGUCUUAAACGUAAAACCUGUGUGGACGCGCAAAUGCAAAACGUUACCACAUCAAAUAGUGAGUGCGCUCCUUUCAAUGUUUCACACAAGCGUCGGGAAAACAUCACGUGACGCUCUGACGCGCAAAUACCGGAAACUGCUAGCUCACAUCCAAAAGUUUGUUUUUCGGGUCCUUCUGAAGUCAUACUGUUCAAAUCUGUCUGAGGCAAUAGAUGGGAGUUUGUUGUACUCAAGACUGUCCUCGGGGAAAUGAUGGUGAAGAGAAGAGUGGAGCGGCACAGCGUUUCUGGAAUUGACUGUGAAAUUAAUGGGAAACACGUCAUCCCAGUGUGCUGCUUAACCAGUGUGAAAAGCAGAUUGUGACAGUGAUAACAAAGGAGGUAAUGAAAUUGAAACAGUUCUUUCUGCUGUUGUGUCAUUUUUACCCCUGAGUUCCUUAUGUUUUUGCUGGGGUAGAAUUUUGAACAUUAAUUUCAAUCAAUUAAUUACAGACCAAAUAACAUGUUAAAAAAUAUGCAGUUACUCCCACCUUUCUCAUUUCCCUAAUUUCGUGUAACAUCAGGCUAGUAGCUGUUACUGCAGCUGAGGUUUGAUUGACAGCCAGAAAGGAUAAACAGAAUAGUUUGCCCACAAUGACGGAAGACAAGAGUGCUUUGAUUAGCCUAUUUUUUUUUUUUUUUUCCAUUUUGUUUACAGAAACUUAAUAAAAAAUAAAAGCAUGAGUUCAGAAAAAGUGUACCUCAUGUAGGAAGUAUCAUCUCAGUGUUAUUCUGUUCUCUCUUUUUUAAGCAGGUUAUUCAUUUGUAUUUUUCCAGCAUUAAAAUAUUGAUAAAAACAUUUUAUGUAUAAAACUGUACAUUCCAUGUAUAGAGUUGCAGAACUAUAUUUCACCUGUUUCCAUUAAAAUGAUAUGGUUUAUACAAAUAGAUAAAUACUUCACCAGAGAAUUUUACAUUCAAAAAUAGAAAUAUGGUACAAUAAUAACACAAAGUCACUCAGUCAACUCCAUGUGGACUGAUCUUCCAAAGCCAACGAACGAGACUGUUAGUGGCAACCAUUAUAAAUUAAAAGGCUGGUAUUAGCAUUAGCAAGUGACCCCCCAGAGCUACCAUUAUAAAGCUGGUGGGUAAUUGGCCCUGAGCUGUAGUGCAGGGACACAGAGGGUCUGUCCUUGUCUGGUGGUGAUGGGGGACAGCGGAUGUUUUACCAGUCUCAUGGUCCUCAGUGGCAGAUGCAGCAUUUCAUCAUAAACCAUGUGUUAUCAGAAAGGUCAGUGGGAUGAUGCGCUCCUGUCCUCUACUGUAACCAGCUCAGCUGAAGCUGCGGUCACAUGUGUUUCUAUUGUUUCCUGCUCU